UACGGGGGGGGCAAGCGUUGUUCGGAAUUACUGGGCGUAAAGGGCUCGUAGGCGGCCAACUAAGUCAGACGUGAAAUCCCUCGGCUUAACCGGGGAACUGCAUCUGAUACUGGAUGGCUUGAGUUCGGGAGAGGGAUGCGGAAUUCCAGGUGUAGCGGUGAAAUGCGUAGAUAUCUGGAGGAACACCGGUGGCGAAGGCGGAUCUCUGGGCCAUUACUGACGCUGAGGAGCGAAAAGCGUGGGGGAGCGAACAGG
rnacentral:rRNA from 1 species